GCGGAUGAAACAAAUAAAUGAAAGAAGCCAGACUCGUGUUAACCGUCACGGCACGAACGGAUCCAGAGAGAACAGGCAACCUCCCCUGGGAUCCGGCAACCCAAGAAGUCGUUUAGCAUGAUAAACUCUUUCUCCGAGGUAUAACUGUAGAUCUCCGUAUUAUCGGAAGUAAACAAGAAAAGAAAUGGAGUACAGAAAAAUCAAAGGAGAGGAUGACGAUAGAGAUGCGGGCGUUGAAGAUGUUGAGAAAUUACGUGGAAAACCACUUUCGCUCUCAGAUAAUGUGGCCGCUAUAGGAGAAUCAAGAAUUGACAGAGCAAAGUGGAAACGCAAGUCAGUCGUUACUCUUGCGUUGACUGUUCUUACAAGUUCACAAGCCAUCCUUAUUGUUUGGUCCAAAAGAGCUGGCAAAUAUGAGUAUAGCGUGACUACUGCGAACUUUUUGGUGGAGACUUUGAAAUGUGCUAUAUCCCUCAUAGUCUUAGGAAAAAUAUGGAGAACAGAAGGCGUUACUGAGGAUAACAGGUUGACCACAACAUUAGAUGAAGUUAUAGUGUAUCCCAUUCCAGCAGCUCUUUACCUGGUUAAAAAUUUGCUCCAGUAUUACAUCUUUGCAUAUGUAGAUGCUCCUGGUUAUCAAAUAUUGAAGAAUUUAAACAUCAUCAGUACUGGCAUCCUUUACAGGAUUAUUCUUAAGAAAAGGUUAAGUGAGAUUCAGUGGGCUGCUUUUAUUCUACUCUGUGCUGGGUGCACCACUGCUCAGUUGAAUACAAAUUCUGAUCGUGUUCUUCAAACUCCCUUUCAAGGUUGGAUUAUGGCCAUCAUCAUGGCGCUCUUGAGUGGUUUUGCAGGAGUAUAUACGGAGGCUAUUAUUAAGAAGCGUCCUUCCAGAAACAUUAAUGUUCAAAACUUCUGGUUGUAUAUCUUUGGCAUGGCCUUCAAUGCUGUUGCCAUAUUGAUUCAAGAUUUUGAUGCAGUGAUGAACAAGGGGUUUUUCAAUGGAUAUUCUUUAAUCACCAUUCUCAUGAUUCUCAACCAUGCGCUCAGUGGUAUUGCUGUAUCAAUGGUAAUGAAGUAUGCUGACAACAUUGUGAAGUGUUGUCUCUGUUGCAAUAUAUCUGCAUUCCGCCGGGAAGAUGCAAAGAUAGGCGGGGCUUCUGCCAUCCAUUUGCCAAUGCUGCACCUUUGUAUUCGAGUCGUUGUGGGCUCCUUUAAAGUGAAUUCCCUAAAUUACCAAUUUAUUGCCUCAGAUUUUAUUAUGAUAUAGUUCCGUGAAGAUCUCCGAAUAGACAAUAGGUGGGUGAUGCGAUUGAGUCUGUGAUGCCUCAGCAAACUCGAUUGAGUUCCAUAUUGUGCUCCAGCUAAUGUGAAAAUGAGGCUAGGAUCAAAUAUUGCGCCGUUGUAACGCUCCCUAUUCAAGGUCACCCGCAGCAUGUCUGCUUGAAUUUAGAGGCUACGUUAUCUUCCCCUGUGCUGACAUGCUAACAGAAGUCAUCGUCUGAUUUGGCACUUGAGGCACGAAUGCUGGUCACUGCUGGAACAGUGCACCUUUAUGGGUAGCGUGUCGUGUGCUAUCGGUGCUGCUGUUUACUGAACUAUGAAAGAUGGCUAAAUCUAGGAUGAUAAGAGGGUUUGAAGCUUUGUACCUGAUGGCCAAAUCUAGGAUGAUAAGGGGCUAGAGGAGAGUUGAAGAUGUGUCCUUGGCUGGGCAAGACAACAAUGGUCAAUCGAUAAGUGGAGCAGGUCAUCACCAUAGCAGGGUCAAGGUUGGAUGCAGGUUGCUAGAUCUUCACUUUACCGGCAACAAGAGGUACCCACAACAAAGAGGCUGGCAAGGUCAAUAGGGAGACAAGGAGAAGCUGGACAAGGGUUGGUGGAGGAGAAAGUCAGACAGCAAGGGUCGGUAAAGAAGGGCAAUGGAGACCACGAUGCAGAUUAGAAAUUAAGGGCAAUGGAGAUGAAAGUGUACUGAUUUUAUGAGGGUAUUUUCAUUAGGAAAUUUUCAAUCCCAUGAGAGACUGGGAUUUUAUGAGGAUGUUAAGCUAAAGACAAAUCCUUCACUCCAAACAUAUCAAAUUGGGUUUUUUCCCGACCACCAAUCCUAUGUACUCCUCCGGUCCUAAAGUAUUAACUUGCGGUGAGCAAAUUAUUUAAGAUA